rnacentral:lncRNA from 1 species
GCAAUUCUCCUGCUUCAGCCUCCCAAGUAGCUGGGAUUACAGGCAUGCACCACCAUGCCUGGCUAAUUUUGUAUUUUUAGUAGAGACGGGGUUUCUCCAUAUUGGUCAGGCUGGCCUGGAACUCUCAACCUUAGGUGAUCCGCCUGCCUUGGCCUUCCAAAGUGCUGGGAUUACAGGUGUAAGCCACUGGGCCUGGCCCAUUUUAUACAUUUUUAAUGUGUAUUCUUGUUUUUGGAAAAUGUGAACAGAGUACUAUUAAACUCUUUUAGCGUCGGUGUAGCAAGGAGGUAAAGAAACAAACAACAAAACAAACAAAAAAUCCCUCUUUGUGAAAUAGGAUUGAAUAUCGUUGGAUUGAGCACUUACCAAGCAACUGUGCCAGGGUUUGUGUCCUUCAUUUAAUUCUUACAAGCCUGAGUGUUCCGUAUUUUAACUUUAUAGGUGAACAAAUAGAAGCUGAGGGUGAAGGACCUACAGCUGUCACCUUCAUCUCUUCUCAACACUGCCAGAUGUCUCCUUGGAUCUCCCAGACAGACAACAAGGGGCAUCUCUGGUUUCUCGGUGCCCGCUAGAAACCUAGGGUCAUUUCAAGGCAUUAUGCAAAUGAGAAGCUUUCCUUCUCUUCACCUCAUCUCCUGAUCUGCACAAAAAUGACUGUAGGACCCACUGUAGGUACCAAUGUAGGCACCAAUCCUCAGUUUACCACCUGCUCUCUACUUGCUUCCCUGCCAUAACUUUCUAAAAGGGAUGUGAGCCAUGUUU